rnacentral:rRNA from 1 species
AUUGAACGCUGGCGGCAUGCUUUACACAUGCAAGUCGAACGGUAACAGGCCUUCGGGUGCUGACGAGUGGCGAACGGGUGAGUAAUGCAUCGGAACGUGCCCAGAGGUGGGGGAUAACGCAGCGAAAGCUGUGCUAAUACCGCAUGUGAUCUGAGGAUGAAAGCGGGGGACCAGGCAGCAAUGUUUGGCCUCGCGCCUUUGGAGCGGCCGAUGUCAGAUUAGGUAGUUGGUGGGGUAAAGGCCUACCAAGCCGACGAUCUGUAGCUGGUCUGAGAGGACGACCAGGCACACUGGGACUGAGAAACGGCCCAGACUCCUACGGGAGGCAGCAGUGGGGAAUUUUGGACAAUGGGCGCAAGCCUGAUCCAGCAAUGCCGCGUGCGGGAAGAAGGCCUUCGGGUUGUAAACCGCUUUUGUACGGAACGAAAAGGCUCUGGCUAAUACCUGGGGCUGAUGACGGUACCGUAAGAAUAAGCACCGGCUAACUACGUG